rnacentral:rRNA from 1 species
UACGGAGGAUGCGAGCGUUAUCCGGAUUUAUUGGGUUUAAAGGGUGCGCAGGCGGGGGAUUAAGUCGGCGGUGAAAUUUUGCAGCUCAACUGUAAAAGUGCCUUCGAAACUGGUUUCCUUGAGUGUAGAUGAAGUAGGCGGAAUUUGUGGUGUAGCGGUGAAAUGCUUAGAUAUCACGAGGAACUCCGAUUGCGCAGGCAGCUUACUAAACUACUACUGACGCUCAGGCACGAAGGCGUGGGGAUCAAACAGGAUUAGAUACCCCCGUAGUCCCU